GGGGGUGUUCAGUAGUCGUAAAAUAACGUACUUUAAUAAUAGGCGUCCUGUCAGGGCUCGGAACUGACAAUAAUAAAUACCGAGCAAUCAACAUAACUGCCAACAGUUUUGUCAGCAAGGUAAAGAAUGCCUUUGGCGUUCUGAACUUUGCGCCAGCCUUCGCCUAAACGCGAAAGCCAUCGCCUACUCUUGUCCGAGAGAGUAACAAGCGGUGUCAAAUAUCGGACUUAGCGCAAUGUUGUCGCCUGCGAUAUUGCGCGAAACUUCUCAGGCAAAGCCGAUUGGCAUUUUGCGUUAUUUUUAGCCAACCGACCAACAAUAAUAACGCUACGGACGUAGAUUAUUGUUAUUGUCUUAUUUUCACGCGGGAGCAUGACCCGCCACCUCCACCA
rnacentral:tmRNA from 1 species